rnacentral:rRNA from 1 species
UCGGACGGGUGAGUAACGCGUGAGAACCUGCCUCUAGGACGGGGACAACAGUUGGAAACGACUGCUAAACCCGGAUGAGCCGAAAGGUAAAAGAUUUAUCGCCUAGAGAGGGGCUUGCGUCUGAUUAGCUAGUUGGUAAGGUAAAGGCUUACCAAGGCGACGAUCAGUAGCUGGUCUGAGAGGAUGAUCAGCCACACUGGGACUGAGACACGGCCCAGACUCCUACGGGAGGCAGCAGUGGGGAAUUUUCCGCAAUGGGCGAAAGCCUGACGGAGCAAGACCGCGUGGGGGAGGAAGGUUCUUGGAUUGUCAACCCCUUUUCUCAGGGAAGAACACAAUGACGGUACCUGAGGAAAAAGCAUCGGCUAACUCCGUGCCAGCAGCCGCGGUAAUACGGGGGAUGCAAGCGUUAUCCGGAAUGAUUGGGCGUAAAGAGUCCGUAGGUAGUCAUCCAAGUCUGCUGUUAAAGAGCGAGGCUUAACUUCGUAAAGGCAGUGGAAACUGGAAGACUAGAGUGUAGUAGGGGCAGAGGGAAUUCCUGGUGUAGCGGUGAAAUGCGUAGAGAUCAGGAAGAACACCGGUGGCGAAGGCGCUCUGCUGGGCUAUAACUGACACUGAGGGACGAAAGCUAGGAAAU